GUUUAGAUUUCGGAUGAGGCAGAUAGAUGGUAUAUCGGUAAUUUUAGGAGAGAAUAGAGUAAAACGAAACCCUAGCUGUAUCAACCUUAGCCUAUAAAUUGGUAACGAAGGCGUUCUGCUCUCUGAAUUCUCUCUAGUUCCUUCGCUUAUUUUGCGAUUUUGCUUGUCAUCUUUUGUUUAUGUACAGAUCUAGGGGUUGAUUUCCAAAUAUAUUUAUAGCUCUAGUGAUUAGGGUUUCUCUGUGAUGAAGAAAAAAAGAUGACGAGUCCGAUCAAUUUUUCCAUUCUUUCAAUGGUGACGACAAUCGAGGCAUUUGUCUGAGAGAAAUCCUUUUUACUGCUAUAUUUUAAUUUUUCUAUUGUUAUUUCAUGAUCCAAUCUUUCUACUGAAGAUAUUAAUCUUCGAUCAGAUGGUUUUUUUUUUCCUCUUAAAUCGUUGAGAAAUUAUUUGCUGAUGAAAGGCGGGCAGUAGUGAUGAUUGAGAUAUUUCACAUUCUUAUUUUUUAAUGUGAUGAUUUUAACUCCUCCUACUCAUUCUGAAUGCCUGCUAUUUAUGCCUUUAUGUUUCCUUGUUUUUUUUGUUUUAAUUAAAAAAAAAAGGAUUUUUGAAUU
rnacentral:misc_RNA from 1 species